UCGGUCAUAUCAAGUUGUAACACCGGUUCCCGUACGAUAACCGAAGUUAAGCAACGUCGAGCCUGGUCAGUACCUAGAGGGGUGACCUUUUGAUAAUAACAGGGGCUGUAC